UGCUUUCUCAAUCUUUGCUUUGUCUCCCCAGUCAGACCAGUACAUGAACCUAAAAGAGACGGAUGCAAGGAGACAGUAAAUUGGACCCAAGGCUGCAGCCAUGCAGAGAUUUACCUGAACCAGCUCUUUGAAGCAUUUCAGCAGUCCUAUGUAAGCUCUUACAGAGGCCCUUAUCUUUAAACAUUGAAACAGACCUUCUCUGAGGCAGAGUCCCAUUCAACAGCUCUUGUAGCCCCUCUGUGAAUCCUGACAGAACAACAAAACAGGAGUCUG